ensembl:snRNA U6 U6 spliceosomal RNA
GUGCUCACUUCUGUAGCACAUAUACUAAAACUGGACUGACACAGAGAAGAUUAGCAUGGCGCCUGUGCAAAGAUGACAUGUAAAUUCGUUAAGCACUCCAUAAAUUU